GGCGCAGAGGGCCUGGCCGACCAGUCCGCUUGAGCCGGUUACGGCGAUCACCUGCGGUUCCAGCCCGGACUGCGCUGC
rnacentral:tRNA from 1 species